CAACUACAUUAAAUAACAGACCUUCCAACACUGUAACCGAUCCUAGCACUUCAUCUCAAACAUCAACUGACACCUCAGAAAUAUCAUCUGAUUCAACAUCAAGAACAGCAACCAAUACAUCAGACAGUGAAGCGGAACGAACAGACAACGAUAAAGAUAUCGCCAUCAUUGUUUUGGCUAUAUUAUCGUUUUCAUUGAUACUGGUCAUAGUUUUAUAUCUCAUGUACAGAAAAGGUAAACUAAGAUGUCUAAAGAGACAUGGUAAUCCGAGAAUGGAGAAUUCAAGAACGAUAACUCCGUCAGAACCUUGGACUACUUACAGUAAUCUAUCGGAUACAGACAGACAUAAUACAGAUAGUGCUUACCAGGAAUUACAAACCAGGAAUGUAAAUUCACCUUAUAAUAAUCUUCCAUAUUCUGGUACAGACAUACAACCUGGUACUAACUAUAGUAGUCUAUCUGAUAGUAACAGACAUGAUACCGAUAAUAAUAGUUACCAAGAGCUACACACAAGAACCUCCACGUCACCUUAUAACAAUCUCCCCUAUAGUAAUCAAUAAUUAUCACCUUAUAACAAUCUCCCCUAUAGUAAUCAAUAAUUAACACAUUUAUAACAAUCUCCCCUAUAGUAAUGAACUACAUACAUAUAGUAAUUAAUAAUACCAUAGCCUAUACCAUCACACUGACUUUCAAUUUUUUUCCGCCAAAAUGGAUGAUAAUUUUUAUAUAACAAAAUGUUCAUAUUUUUUUCCGCCAACUAGAAUAUUUAUCUUCCAAACAUUUGUGAUAAAAAAGACAACAAUACAAUAUACAACAACUUUAAAAAUCUGUCUGUGUAUAAUAAAUUAGCACAGUUUGGAUUUAAUAAGAUCAGAUUUUUUUGUGGGGUGACUUUAGUCUAUUUGAACACCGUACCGCACAAUAUAUUUUUAGUAUCUACACGUCAGAUCUCAUUCAAGGAUUGCCAAUUUUCUAUAAAUUUAUGUGUUGCGUGUACAAUAGGCCUACAGUUAUUUUCAGAAUGUGAAUCCCUGGUAGAAUGAUAUAAAUUUCAAUUAUAUUUGUAAGAGAUGCUUACAAUUAUACCCGUCGUUCACCUUUAGAUCAUUUUGGCGACGGUAAUACGAUACGUCAUAUGGCGAAAUGAUUUCUCGCUCAAGAAUCGUCGCUAUUCAACUCGUUCUUACGUUUUCGACCAGUGGUGAUGAUAUAAUUUGAAAUAAUGAUAUCCGAUCGGCAUGCUUGUAUAUCUUACAUGCCGCAUAUGAAGCCAGAGUAAACGGAAUUCAACUAUCAAAAUAUUUAAUUCUCUUCGAAAGGAACUGUCGACCAUUUUGAUUACAUGUAUUACCAUUUUUUUUAAGACGAAACGGAACGUCAAAUAAUCACCGCUUGGAUUAAUAAUGACUUGAGAUAGGCUUUAUAUACAUCAUUUGCAAUUAUCAAUCAACUAAUCAUUAAUCUAAGACAACUGAUUAGUAUUAAUCAUUGACGUAAUCCGGAUUAUCAGCUAGUUGAUUGAUUUAUAGUAUUCCGCCACGUGAUUGACACUCAAAUAAUUGUUAAUCAAGGAUGAAUACGAUUAGAAUUUUAAGAUUUUUUUCCCCAGUUCUCAAAAAGAAUCGCCAGUACCGCAAAACAUUAUCGCCAAAAUCAAAUUUUAAUCGCCACUUUCAUAUUUUCAUCGCAAAUUGCGACUUUGGCGACCGACAGUGUGAGCCUGACCAUAGGGUUUAUUUUAGUUAUAAGAAAGGUGUUCUGUAUAUAAUAUAGAAAUUCUUUACCUACAUGAUGUGUGACGAAAACUAGGGUAAUGAAGUAGCUUGCAUUAUUUUACUACUAUCUUAGACUAACUUACCAACAGUUAUAUGUCAGUAUCCAUUGCUGGAAGUAGGGUACUAUAGUCCAGUCAUCUCGUGCAUGGAUUACAAUUAACUAGAAUAGUGUUGACGUAAAACGGUGCCUAUACGAAACACUUACCCAAAAAUGGUAAUUGUCCCGCCCAAAUAGAUGACGCAUUGUACUUCCUCUAUAGGAGAGAGCUUGUUUGAUUUACGCUCAGAUAUCAUGAUGAGACCCUAGGGAAGAUAUCACAGAGCGGCCCGUGAGGGGAACAUCGUAGCCUCCUCGGCUGAGAGGCUGGGAUAGAGACGAAUGUAGUAUUUAAACCGUUAGGUCUGAGUUGUAAAGGAUGCUAAACUCAGACCGUGGAUAUUUUGAUAACUCCUGAAGUUAUAGUGUUCCUGGAUUCAACUUUGUAGUUUGCUGUAUUUGUUAUAUAAACUUAGUAACAACGUAAACGGUGUUCCAGAGUCAGUUAAUAGAUGAUUAAAAUAGUUAUCACAACGUGAAUUCGGAAGAAUGUCCUAGACGAUAAUGUCACAGCUACCCCGUAGUGUCACGGUCGUUUUUAUUUGGUACCGUGACACAGGAUAGGAUAGUGUUACAGCUAAUCUCUCUUUGGUGCCGCUGACUGAAGGAUGUCGACCAUGGGGGAAAUCCAUGCAAGAAGAAGUUUCCAGUCGUUUUAGGUGAAAUGUUUUGUGUCAUACUGGAUGUUGUUAUUUGUAUUACCUUUAUCAACCUUGAUCACUUUCAUAAUUACAUUAAUUAAAGGGACAUCAUGUAAGAUUAGAUAAGGAGCUAACAUUUCUCACUAUUAUAGUUAAAAAGUAGCUAAUG